rnacentral:sRNA from 1 species
AUUUCCUAAAACAAUGAAAGCCCUACCUCUCUUUCAUCCUUACGGCUCCUGAGCCGCUCCAGUGUGAAUCAGGUUUUUCAAAUAAAU